AGCGAACGCUGGCGGCAGGCCUAACACAUGCAAGUCGAACGAACUCUUCGGGGUUAGUGGCGGACGGGUGAGUAACACGUGGGAACGUGCCUUUAGGUUCGGAAUAACUCAGGGAAACUUGUGCUAAUACCGAAUGUGCCCUUCGGGGGAAAGAUUUAUCGCCUUUAGAGCGGCCCGCGUCUGAUUAGCUAGUUGGUGAGGUAAAGGCUCACCAAGGCGACGAUCAGUAGCUGGUCUGAGAGGAUGAUCAGCCACAUUGGGACUGAGACACGGCCCAAACUCCUACGGGAGGCAGCAGUGGGGAAUCUUGCGCAAUGGGCGAAAGCCUGACGCAGCCAUGCCGCGUGAAUGAUGAAGGUCUUAGGAUUGUAAAAUUCUUUCACCGGGGACGAUAAUGACGGUACCCGGAGAAGAAGCCCCGGCUAACUUCGUGCCAGCAGCCGCGGUAAUACGAAGGGGGCUAGCGUUGCUCGGAAUUACUGGGCGUAAAGGGAGCGUAGGCGGACAUUUAAGUCAGGGGUGAAAUCCCGGGGCUCAACCACGGAAUUGCCUUUGAUACUGGGUGUCUUGAGUAUGAGAGAGGUAUGUGGAACUCCGAGUGUAGAGGUGAAAUUCGUAGAUAUUCGGAAGAACACCAGUGGCGAAGGCGACAUACUGGCUCAUUACUGACGCUGAGGCUCGAAAGCGUGGGGAGCAAACAGG
rnacentral:rRNA from 1 species